CAGUAGCCGCGGUAACACGAAGGGGGCUAGCGUUGUUCGGAAUUACUGGGCGUAAAGCGCACGUAGGCGGAUAUUUAAGUCAGGGGUGAAAUCCCGCAGCUCAACUGCGGAACUGCCUUUGAUACUGGGUAUCUUGAGUAUGGAAGAGGUUAGUGGAAUUGCGAGUGUAGAGGUGAAAUUCGUAGAUAUUCGCAGGAACACCAGUGGCGAAGGCGGCUAACUGGUCCAUAACUGACGCUGAGGUGCGAAAGCGUGGGGAGCAAACAGGAUUAGAUACCCGUGUAGUCCCUGUCUCUUAUAC
rnacentral:rRNA from 1 species